rnacentral:rRNA from 1 species
AACGCGAAGAACCUUACCAGCUCUUGACAUGCCCGGUAUGGGCGGGAGAGAUCCCGCUCUUCGGUUCGGCCGGCCGGGACACAGGUGCUGCAUGGCUGUCGUCAGCUCGUGUCGUGAGAUGUUGGGUUAAGUCCCGCAACGAGCGCAACCCCCAUCUGCAGUUGCCAGCGGUUUGGCCGGGCACUCUGCAGAAACUGCCGGUGACAAGCCGGAGGAAGGCGGGGAUGACGUCAAGCCAUCAUGGCCCUUAUGUCCAGGGCUACAAGCGUGCUACAAUGGGCGGUACAAAGGGUUGCAACCUCGCGAGAGCAAGCUAAUCCCAAAAAACCGUCCUCAGUUCGGAUCGGAGUCUGCAACUCGACUCCGUGAAGUUGGAAUCGCUAGUAAUCGCGGAUCAGCCAUGCCGCGGUGAAUACGUUCCCGGGCCUUGUACACACCGACGCGUA